UCCUGCCCACCUUCCUCGUUCGUUCCCUUUAUCGCGGCGUAAAAACGUCUCGACGCAUGCUGCUUACUUCUUACUUACUUAUAUAUGUAACCUGCACGUAUUGACGUAGGCUGUAUAAUAUUAAUAAUAUACGGAUGCGGUAAAAGUAGCUAGGCGAAAUGCGAGAGGCGAGAAACAACUUCGCUCCUGCCUUUUUCUCACUAUUUCAUUGCGCGAGGAUCGAAAUGACCAGAUAUUAGGUGCAGUUCGAUUCGAUUGCCUGGAGAUGCAGCGAGGAUAUUGGGUAAAGAAUAUAGAAUUAACGUGUGAUAUUUUGCGGCGAUGACGUCACCGCAAUACGAAACUGGUCACGUAAACUCGUUCUAAAACCGUAUUACUAGCUAAUUUUAUUUGCCAAAUGUCACAUGCACUCUGCACGUAAAAUCAUAUCACACGGAGAGUAUAAAAGACCAGAUUUUACUCAAAACUGCUGGAAAAAGAAGGACGCGUCAGAUUUUUUGGUAGAAUAUAAUAGUUAUAAUAAUAGGUUUUUGGUGAAAACCACUGUGUGCACAGAGUAACAUCUGCUACAUUUAUAGUAAAAAAUAUGGUUGACGGGGAAACUUUUCACCAAAAAACCUGAUGAAACGUCCCUCUUUUCCUGCAGUUUUCAAUAAAAUCUGCUUUUUUUCUUCUCUCCGUAUAGAACUUCCAAAAUAUGUAUAAUUGUCCGUCUUACAAGGUUCGACUGUAUAUUCGUUAAAAUCACUGUACAGUAUACUCCUGCUCAGGUCUCUGCGUUUACUGCACGCGGCACCCGGUAUACCACACGUGCAUAUCCCCCGAUAAAUUCGUAAUGUAUCAAACUUCCGGCGGGUUCAAAUCGAAUAAAGUUACUCCGGUUUAUACACACGGUGUGCAUAUACACCUAUAUUAACACAGUAAAUGAGAGAGACAAUCGGCUUGUCUAUAAUGUUACUACGAAGUAAUAUCUACCUAUAAUUUAUACACGUACACUUGGGGAGAAUGAAUCUGAGACGGCUAAUUUUUCACACUAGAUAGUUAAGUUGGCAACACAGAGAUACCUACAGCGCCACAGUCGGUCGAGCGCGAAACAAACUCAAUCUCAAUAAACACAACAUAACCCAUGACUGUCGAAUCUAACCUUAAAAUACGCGUCAAUCUAACAAGUCAUUAUUCCCGCGGUAUUCUAAGGUGAGAUUCAACGGCCAUGGGUUAUGUUACGUUUAUUGAGAUUGAGUUUGUUUCGCGCUCGGCCGACUGUGGCGCUGUAGGUUUCACUGUGUUGCCAACCUAACUGUCUGGUGGAAAAAAUAAGCCAUCUCAGAUUCAUUGUCCCCAAGUGUACCUGCAACAUAUGUAAAUAUAUUUAAUAGUUUUUCAUUUGUAUACAUUAUUUUUAAUUUCAAUAUGUGACCAGAUAACGUACACGAUAUUAUUGGAUCUACCCUCAUUGAUCGAUGGAUAAAACUUUUUUGCCAAUGGACAGAGAGGACUUUUAUACGUACAAAAAUUACACUAGCCAACAUGGGAACCAAAAAUAGUGAUAUGCAACAUGCGAAGGGUGGAGUUCACCGUUCACCAUGACCCACCUACCUAUAGUAAUACGAGGGGCUGGGGUGACGACCAUGGGAAGACCCUUCGGACAGGGGGAGGAAUUGGGGCGAGGCCGAGAGCGUGGCUUCCAAAGGUUGAGGCGGGCACGGAAGUGGGUUAGAAAAUGUACCCCCUGUGCCAUAAAUUCUAUUAUGAUGUGUAAGAAUCACAGAACGUCGUGAUUUGUAUUCUUAUAAUGUAUUGUCGCAGCACCAUUGGAUUGAAAGUGAACUGGAAUUGUUAUACAAAUAUACACGAUGUAUCGACGGUAUUUAAUUAGAUGAACAUAUGUGUAUAAUACACGUGUAUGUGUAUCUGACUGCAUCGUUUUAACAAUAUAACACAACCCAGGCAAAUGUUA
rnacentral:lncRNA from 1 species